UAUGUUACAGUACAUUAAGGGGAUUUUUCUCUUGUUACAGGAGUUGUUUUUAUUUCAGGUUUUAGUGUUGGUGUUGGUAUUGGUGUUGGAUUUGGAUCAUACCAGAGUUAGAGUUUACUCUCUUCAUCUUAUAGUUUCACAGCACCAUAAGCAUGACACACACUUAUUAACAAGUGAUUUUAAUAAAACUGAUUUUAAAAGAGAAAAUAAAGAAGAGAGAAGCGUAGGCAAUUUGAGCAUCAGUUUUAAAAAGCUCAAUUUGAAUAGCUUCAUGGAUGAACCAAUAAGCAAUUAUUUAUAUUGUAAUCCGUUAAGCUUGCUUUCAAAUCUGUAACAGAAUUUUUAGGAUCAGUUGAGAUACUUAGAGUUACAUAUAAAGUUGUUGAGAACAUAACAGAAGUUCAUUCAUUACCAUAAUGGAUACUUUUCUUACCCUUGUCAAAUAAUUUGUGUUUAAAAGAGGGUGUGGUGAACCUUGCUUAUCUAAGAAUUUCUCUUACGUGUUUGAAACUUUCAGAAUUUUGGUGUUCUCAUGAUCCCAACAGUACCACAAUAGCUUGCUGUCCAUUGCUGGAAUCUCUGGAUUUUGCCAGGUUGUUCCUCUCUCCACUAUUAUAUGUUUUGAUGACUUUAUUGAGAUUAUUGCUGAAGAGCCAGAACAAUUCAACAAUAGAAGCAAAGAAGGAACUUGUAAAAGCAUGCUCAAAGAAGUUCAUAAAAAUCAUGACUAUAUUGUAAUUGAUGAUGGUGAUGAUGAUGGUGAUGAUGAAAGGCACUCUAAACCACUCUUAAUGAAAAAGAGAACCAACACAGAAGAAUUGAUUUGGACCUUCGUUCAGUUAGAGAAAGAAUUAACAGAUAGCAACUAGUAGUUAUUCACAUCCCUAUUAUAGACCAAGUGGCAGAUUUAUUAAUCAAGCCCCUCUCCUCUCUUAAUUUUAAUAGUGGUCCUCGUGAAGAUGCAACUCGU